rnacentral:rRNA from 1 species
CCUACGGGAGGCAGCAGUAAGGAAUAUUGGUCAAUGGACGAAAGUCUGAACCAGCCAUGCCGCGUGAAGGAUGAAGGUCCUCUGGAUUGUAAACUUCUUUUAUAUGGGACGAAAAAAGGGAAUUCUUUCUCACUUGACGGUACCAUAGGAAUAAGCACCGGCUAACUCCGUGCCAGCAGCCGCGGUAAUACGGAGGGUGCAAGCGUUAUCCGGAUUCACUGGGUUUAAAGGGUGCGUAGGUGGGUAGGUAAGUCAGUGGUGAAAUCUCCGAGCUUAACUCGGAAACUGCCAUUGAUACUAUUUAUCUUGAAUAUCCUGGAGGUGAGCGGAAUAUGUCAUGUAGCGGUGAAAUGCUUAGAUAUGACAUAGAACACCAAUUGCGAAGGCAGCUCACUACGGGAUUAUUGACACUGAGGCACGAAAGCGUGGGGAUCAAACAGGAUUAGAUACCCUGGUAGUCCACGCCCUAAACGAUGGAUACUCGACAUACGCGAUAUACUGUGUGUGUCUGAGCGAAAGCAUUAAGUAUCCCACCUGGAAGUACGACCGCAAGGUUGAAACUCAAAGGAAUUGACGG